ACCUAGGAUAACACAGUUGGUAGAGCAUGAGGCUCAUAAUCUCAGGGUUGUGGGUUCAAGCCCCAGGUUGGGCU